AACAAACACCUUAAACAUGCAGUCGAACGGUGCACACAUAGCUUGCUCUCGGGUGACGAGUGGCGGACGGGUGAGUAAUGUCUGGGAAACUGCCUGAUGGAGGGGGAUAACUACUGGAAACGGUAGCUAAUACCGCAUAACGUCGCAAGACCAAAGAGGGGGACCUUCGGGCCUCUUGCCAUCAGAUGUGCCCAGAUGGGAUUAGCUAGUAGGUGGGGUAACGGCUCACCUAGGCGACGAUCCCUAGCUGGUCUGAGAGGAUGACCAGCCACACUGGAACUGAGACACGGUCCAGACUCCUACGGGAGGCAGCAGUGGGGAAUAUUGCACAAUGGGCGCAAGCCUGAUGCAGCCAUGCCGCGUGUAUGAAGAAGGCCUUCGGGUUGUAAAGUACUUUCAGCGGGGAGGAAGGUGUUGUGGUUAAUAACCGCAGCAAUUGACGUUACCCGCAGAAGAAGCACCGGCUAACUCCGUGCCAGCAGCCGCGGUAAUACGGAGGGUGCAAGCGUUAAUCGGAAUUACUGGGCGUAAAGCGCACGCAGGCGGUCUGUCAGUCGGAUGUGAAAUCCCCGGGCUCAACCUGGGAACUGCAUUCGAACUGGCAGCUGAGUCUGUAGAGGGGAGUAGACUCCAGUGUAGCGUGAAUGCGUAAAGAUCUGAGAUACGUGGCGAGCGCCCCCUUGACAUGACUGACCUCAGUGCGAAGCGUGGGGACCAAACAGAAUGACUCCUUGGUACGCCCACGCGUAACGAUUCGAUUGGAGGGUGCUGACUUGAGGCCUGGCCUCGGACUUACGUUAUCGAACGGCUUGAGAUACCGCCCAGGUUAACCUAGUGAUUGACGGUCCCCAACGUGAACAGUG
rnacentral:rRNA from 1 species